UAGGGAAUCUUCGGCAAUGGGGGCAACCCUGACCGAGCAACGCCGCGUGAGUGAAGAAGGUUUUCGGAUCGUAAAGCUCUGUUGUAAGAGAAGAACGUGUGUGAGAGUGGAAAGUUCACACAGUGACGGUAACUUACCAGAAAGGGACGGCUAACUACGUGCCAGCAGCCGCGGUAAUACGGAGGUCCCGAGCGUUGUCCGGAUUUAUUGGGCGUAAAGCGAGCGCAGGCGGUUUAAUAAGGCUGAAGCUAAAGGCAGUGGCUUAACCAUUGUGCGCUUUGGAAGCUGUUAAGCUUGAGUGCAGAAGGGGAGAGUGGAGUUCCAGGUAGAGCGGUGAAGUGCGUAGAUAUAUGGGGGAACACCGGUGGCGAAGGCGGCUCUCUGGUCUGUAACUGGCGCUGAGGCUCGAAAGCGUGGGGAGCAAACAGG
rnacentral:rRNA from 1 species